UUGUAGAAUAACGAAGCACCAGAAAGUUAGCUUAACUGAGCACAGCACAGCGCAGCAUAGCUCAAUGUUGAUUGGUCAC